GAUUUCCUCUAUAUAUAGACGAGCCGAAUCCCGAACCGGGGCACAGUGCGAUGCUGAAUCUUUGCUGGAAAUCACUAGUUGGGGAAGAAAUUCAAGUACAGACUAUCCCAAAAACUAAAGGUCUUCACGGAGUGAUGAUUUGGGAACUGAAAGUAACGAUAUUCUGGUUUUCAUGUCGUGAUUUUGGAGCGUAAUGUUUCACCUCUAAAUUAGUCGGAACGGUAACUUCAAAUUGCUAUAUCCGCCAUGUUUUCCGACAGAUUGUAAAAUUUUAUUCACCCAUGGAUAACCCCAAGUUUGUAGAUGUUUUUCGAUGCCACAGG